CCUACGGGAGGCAGCAGUGAGGAAUAUUGGUCAAUGGACGGAAGUCUGAACCAGCCAUGCCGCGUGCAGGAUGACUGCCCUAUGGGUUGUAAACUGCUUUUCUGAAGGAAGAAAAGUACCUACGUGUAGGUAUUUGCCGGUACUUCAGGAAUAAGGAUCGGCUAACUCCGUGCCAGCAGCCGCGGUAAUACGGAGGAUCCGAGCGUUAUCCGGAUUUAUUGGGUUUAAAGGGUGCGUAGGCGGUAUAAUAAGUCAGUGGUGAAAGUCUGUGACUCAACCAUAGAAGUGCCAUUGAAACUGUUAUACUUGAGUAUAGAUGAGGUAUGCGGAAUGUGUAAUGUAGCGGUGAAAUGCUUAGAUAUUACACAGAACACCGAUUGCGAAGGCAGCAUACUAAGCUAUAACUGACGCUGAUGCACGAAAGCGUGGGUAGCGAACAGGAUUAGAUACCCUGGUAGUCCACGCCGUAAACGAUGAUCACUCGUUGUUGGCGACAUAAAGUCAGUGACUGAGCGAAAGCAUUAAGUGAUCCACCUGGGGAGUACGUUGGCAACGAUGAAACUCAAAUGAAUUGACGGA
rnacentral:rRNA from 1 species